rnacentral:rRNA from 1 species
AUAUGCUUGUCUCAAAGAUUAAGCCAUGCAUGUCUCAGUACAAGCCACAUUAAGGUGAAACCGCGAAAGGCUCAUUAAAUCAGUUAUGGUUCCUUAGAUCGUACCCACAUUUACUUGGAUAACUGUGGUAAUUCUAGAGCUAAUACAUGCAAACAGAGUUCCGACCGGAGACGGGAGGAAUGCUUUUAUUAGAUCAAAACCAAUCGGCGGCGGGUGCGUUCGCGCGCCCGUUCGCCGCUCAACCUGGUGACUCUGAAUAACUUUCGGCUGAUCGCACGGUCCAGCACCGGCGACGCAUCUUUCAAAUGUCUGCCUUAUCAACUGUCGAUGGUAGGUUCUGCGCCUACCAUGGUCGUAACGGGUAACGGGGAAUCAGGGUUCGAUUCCGGAGAGGGAGCC